rnacentral:rRNA from 1 species
AUUGAACGCUGGCGGCAGGCCUAACACAUGCAAGUCGAGCGGGUGAAGGGCGCUUGCUCCUGGAUUCAGCGGCGGACGGGUGAGUAAUGCCUAGGAAUCUGCCUGGUAGUGGGGGAUAACGUCCGGAAACGGGCGCUAAUACCUCAUACGUCCUGAGGGAGAAAGUGGGGGGUCUUCGGACCUCACGCUAUCAGAUGAGCCUAGGUCGGAUUAGCUAGUUGGUGGGGUAAAGGCUUACCAAGGCGACGAUCCGUAACUGGUCUGAGAGGAUGAUCAGGCACACUGGAACUGAGACACGGUCCAGACCCCGACGGCAGGCAGCAGUGGGGAAUAUUAGACAAUGGGCGAAAGCCUGAUCCAGACAUGCCGCGUGUGUGAAGAAGGUCUCCGGAUUGUAAAGCACUUUAAGUUGGGAGAAAGGGCAGUAAGUUAAUACCUUGCUGUUUUGACGUUACCAACAGAAUAAGCGCCGGCUAACUACGUG